AAUGAACGUUGGCGGCGUGGAUUAGGCAUGCAAGUCGAGCGGGUGUAGUAAUACAUCAGCGGCGAAAGGGAGAGUAACGCGUAGUUACGUGCCCCGAGGUCCAGAAUAGCUACGGGAAACUGUAGGUAAUGCUGGAUGAUAUCUCCGGAUCAAAGGUGUGAUUCCGCCUCGGGAGCGGACUGCGUCCUACUAGCUAGUUGGCGGGGUAAUGGCCCACCAAGGCGACGAUGGGUAGCGGGUGUGAGAGCAUGACCCGUCUCACUGGGACUGAGACACUGCCCCGACGCCGACGGGUGGCUGCAGUCGAGAAUCUUCGGCAAUGAGCGCAAGCUUGACCGAGCGACGCCACGUGCGGGGUGAAGGCCUUCGGGUUGUAAACCGCUUUCGGUUGGGAGGAAAUCGCUAGGGGUUCUCCCCUAGUGUUGACCUAUCUUCGGAAGAAGGACGGGCUAAGUUCGUGCCAGCAGCCGCGGUAAGAC
rnacentral:rRNA from 1 species